rnacentral:rRNA from 1 species
CCCUUGACUUUGGGAUAACUUCAGGAAACUGGGGCUAAUACCGGAUAGGAGCUCCUGCUGCAUGGUGGGGGUUGGAAAGUUUCGGCGGUUGGGGAUGGACUCGCGGCUUAUCAGCUUGUUGGUGGGGUAGUGGCUUACCAAGGCUUUGACGGGUAGCCGGCCUGAGAGGGUGACCGGCCACAUUGGGACUGAGAUACGGCCCAGACUCCUACGGGAGGCAGCAGUGGGGAAUAUUGCACAAUGGGCGGAAGCCUGAUGCAGCAACGCCGCGUGCGGGAUGACGGCCUUCGGGUUGUAAACCGCUUUCGCCUGUGACGAAGCGUGAGUGACGGUAAUGGGUAAAGAAGCACCGGCUAACUACGUGCCAGCAGCCGCGGUGAUACGUAGGGUGCGAGCGUUGUCCGGAUUUAUUGGGCGUAAAGGGCUCGUAGGUGGUUGAUCGCGUCGGAAGUGUAAUCUUGGGGCUUAACCCUGAGCGUGCUUUCGAUACGGGUUGACUUGAGGAAGGUAGGGGAGAAUGGAAUUCCUGGUGGAGCGGUGGAAUGCGCAGAUAUCAGGAGGAACACCAGUGGCGAAGGCGGUUCUCUGGGCCUUUCCUGACGCUGAGGAGCGAAA